rnacentral:rRNA from 1 species
GUGGAUUAGAUACCCUAGUAGUCCACGCCGUAAACGAUGAGUGCUAAGUGUUAGAGGGUUUCCGCCCUUUAGUGCUGCAGCUAACGCAUUAAGCACUCCGCCUGGGGAGUACGGCCGCAAGGCUGAAACUCAAAGGAAUUGACGGGGGCCCGCACAAGCGGUGGAGCAUGUGGUUUAAUUCGAAGCAACGCGAAGAACCUUACCAGGUCUUGACAUCCUCUGACAAUCCUAGAGAUAGGACGUUCCCCUUCGGGGGACAGAGUGACAGGUGGUGCACGGCCGUCGCCAACU